UACGGAGGGUGCGAGCGUUGUCCGGAAUCACUGGGCGUAAAGGGCGCGUAGGCGGCCUGAUAAGUAGGGGGUGAAAUCCUGCGGCUUAACCGCAGGGCUGCCUUCUAAACUGUCAGGCUAGAGCACAGUAGAGGCAGGUGGAAUUCCCGGUGUAGCGGUGGAAUGCGUAGAUAUCUGGAGGAACACCGGUGGCGAAGGCGGCAUCCUGGACCAACACUGACGCUGAGGAGCGAAAGCCAGGGGAGCAAACGGG
rnacentral:rRNA from 1 species